CUCUUCGUUCCCCCCUCACUAAACAGUUAUCUCGAACGUUUUUAGUGUAUCGUGUUGUGAUUUUAAGCGUCCUACCAAACUUUUUAGAUGUCGGAGCAGUGCGUGAGGAUAAUUCGUCUUUACCCGGAUGAAGAAGGUGGUGUUACAAGUGAGUGAAACCAGUGAAAUCCGUAUAUUAUUUUAUACGGAAAUCCACGUAAAGAGGACUUAUUGAUUUUUCCACGCGGACUUCCAACGCAUGGAUUGGACCACAUUUGUAACGGCUCGACUACAUCAAACGAGACCAAAGGAAGUUAUUGCUGUAAUCACCCGGACAACGAGAAGGACACAUCGGACGCCGGCUUGACGGCCCGGCAGGCAGCUCUUGUCCCAUAAACAAACGGCCCGAAGGAGGUCGCCACUGUUCCCGUAGGACUGCCGGGUGACCGGGAUGAAUAUUUCACGGUACAUUCGCGGGAUUUGCCGAGGCUGUUUUCUUCCUGUUUCCCGAGAGGAGUGUACAAGUACGUGCGGAGCCCCGUACCGCGUCGCUUUGCCGAAGCAAGGAGGGUAAAAGAGUCGGGGAUGAGGCAGGUAACUUCCUAACCGAAUUGUCAAGUUGGUGAGAGAGGUUGCAGGGGUGUACAUCAGGGCCGGGGAAAAUGCCGGGGCAAAGGCGAAGAGACGACGACGACGACUUGCAGAGGCCGUCAACUUCCACGCGGGGAACGAGAAGCCGAAGAGGAAAUGAGAGAGAUGGAGCGAUGUAAAAAAAAAAAAAAAAAAAUCAAGAAGUCUUCUGAUUCGAUUUUUUUCAACCCGUAUCACAUCGAGCCAUCAGAAAUUUUCGACAGUCCUCCGUGCGGUAUGGAGUCCGAAACACUGGUCUGAGUGACAGAAGAUGGUGGUUGAAUUAUUCAAGAUUUCCAGUCACCGAACCUGACGAUACCAUCUCCUUGGAGAACAUCUUGCUGCACGGUCUCGUAACUUCUAAGGCCACGAUUAUACGGGAUGGAUUUGAGGACCUUUGUGAUGUUUGGCAAAGGACGAAUCACUUCUUGCGGAUAACUGCACACACAAUCAUCAUUGAGGCAAGAAGAACCAAAAAUGUUUGGACUCGAAAAAACCAGUCAACUACGGCGAGAGCUUUCGCGGGUCAUUUUUACUCUCAGUCUAACGAAAUAAGUGCCUUUCACAGGUCUCGCAACGCGUCCAUGUGCAAACAUGAAAAUUACGUAAAUCGAAUUCAAACCAUAAUGUUGUUCCACCCUAUAAGACACCAUGUUUUGAAUAUUGGGCUAUGUAUUAUCUGUAAAAUAAAAUACCAGACUGCGAUACUUCCUUUAUAUUAAAUAUCACAUUGCUAUAUUGACUGUACCCUAAGUUUUGACUACUGUACAAAUACAUAAAAAGCUAACGGUGAUGGGCGGGAAAUGAUCAACUUGAUUGAAAUUGAUGGUUCACUGAGUACUUGAACGGAGUCAUGAUUUAUCGACAAUUUCAAAUAUCAGAGCUAGCUCCUGAUAGAGGAUAAGCUCAAGCACGUUUCGGAAGGGUGCUGAAUCUGGUACUAGUGGCACCAUCCAUAGGGAAGCCUGAGAGACACCAUCCUGGCAUUCUGUCCUUAAAGUAGACACAUCGAUAACUGACCAGCAUUCACCACCAAGAGAGCACGAGAUGAUCCAAAGCAUACUUAUCAUGUGGGAAGCUUUCUGUGAGAAAAUCGAUUCGAUCAACCCUUAGCAGACUGAUUGGACAUCAGAGAUUGCAACAAACGCAUUCAUAGUAUUGAAGAAACGACCGCUGGUAUAAUACAAAUUGGAUAAAUUGUAAUUUAGUGGUUUAGUACUUAUAAUCCAGGUUACACUGAGUAGUGAGAAUACAAUAUCAUCCACAUCGUUUUCAGCGGAAGUGCAUUGCGCCUGUGCACGCUCGCAAGCGCGAACUUUAACGAUACUUACAAACUAAGAUCCUUAUGUAAGAUUUUUCAUACUCGGCUUAAGAUAAUGUAUGAUGCACUUCCGUGCUAUCAUAUGAUGGUGAAAUAUUUUAUCUAUUGUUCAAACAGAUUCGUAGCAUUUGUUUUGUGUCUUGGAUUUGUGUAGUCUUUCAUAACAUGGAAAAAAUUGUACACUGACACCAAAAUACCUGUACAGAAAUC
rnacentral:lncRNA from 1 species